rnacentral:rRNA from 1 species
UACGAAGGGGGCUAGCGUUGCUCGGAAUCACUGGGCGUAAAGGGUGCGUAGGCGGGUCUUUAAGUCAGAGGUGAAAUCCUGGAGCUCAACUCCAGAACUGCCUUUGAUACUGAAGAUCUUGAGUUCGGGAGAGGUGAGUGGAACUGCGAGUGUAGAGGUGAAAUUCGUAGAUAUUCGCAAGAACACCAGUGGCGAAGGCGGCUCACUGGCCCGAUACUGACGCUGAGGCACGAAAGCGUGGGGAGCA